rnacentral:rRNA from 1 species
UGGGGAAUAUUGGACAAUGGGCGGAAGCCUGAUCCAGCAAUGCCGCGUGAGUGAUGAAGGCCCUAGGGUUGUAAAGCUCUUUUACCCGGGAUGAUAAUGACAGUACCGGGAGAAUAAGCUCCGGCUAACUUCGUGCCAGCAGCCGCGGUAAUACGAGGGGAGCUAGCGUUGUUCGGAAUUACUGGGCGUAAAGCGCGCGUAGGCGGUUUUUAAGUCAGAGGUGAAAGCCCGGGGCUCAACCCCGGAAUAGCCUUUGAAACUGGAAAACUAGAAUCUUGGAGAGGUCAGUGGAAUUCCGAGUGUAGAGGUGAAAUUCGUAGAUAUUCGGAAGAACACCAGUGGCGAAGGCGACUGACUGGACAAGUAUUGACGCUGAGGUGCGAAAAGCGUGGGGAGCAAACAGGAUUAGAUACCCACGUAGUCCCUGAGCGGGCUGGCAAGGCGCAU